rnacentral:rRNA from 1 species
UGAACGCUGGCGGCGCGCCUAACACAUGCAAGUCGAACGGUUAAAGCACCUCCGGGUGUGCAUAGAGUGGCGGACGGCUGAGUAACACGUGGGCAACCUGCCCCCCUCAUCGGGAUAGCCUCGGGAAACCGUGGGUAAUACCGAAUACUCCGGGCACCCCCCGCAUGGGGGGAGCCGGGAAAGCUCCGGCGGAGGGGGAUGGGCCCGCGGCCUGUUAGCUUGUUGGCGGGGUAACGGCCCACCAAGGCGAUUAUGGGUAGCCGGGUUGAGAGACCGACCGGCCAGAUUGGGACUGAGACACGGCCCAGACUCCUACGGGAGGCAGCAGUGGGGAAUCUUGCACAAUGGGCGAAAGCCUGAUGCAAGCGACGCCGCGUGCGGGACGAAGGCCUUCGGGUUGUAAACCGCUUUCAGCAGGGACGAGGCCGCAAGGUGACGGUACCUGCAGAAGAAGCCCCGGCUAACUACGUGCCAGCAGCUGC